AGAGUUUGAUCAUGGCUCAGAAUCAACGCUGGCGGCGUGCCUAACACAUGCAAGUCGAACGCGAAAGGGACUUCGGUCCUGAGCAGAGUGGCGAACGGGUGAGUAACGCGUGGGUGACCUACCCUCGAGUGGGGGAUAACGUUCCGAAAGGGACGCUAAUACCGCAUGACAUUCCUGGUUUGAACACCGGGAAAUCAAAGCCGGGGACCGCAAGGCCUGGCGCUUGAGGAGGGGCCCGCGUCUGAUUAGCUAGUUGGCGGGGUAACGGCCCACCAAGGCGACGAUCAGUAGCCGGCCUGAGAGGGCGGACGGCCACACUGGGACUGAGACACGGCCCAGACUCCUACGGGAGGCAGCAGUGGGGAAUUGUUCGCAAUGGGCGCAAGCCUGACGACGCAACGCCGCGUGGAGGAUGAAGGUCUUCGGAUUGUAAACUCCUGUUGAUCGGGACGAAAAGCUUCGACCUAAUACGUCGGAGACUGACGGUACCGGUUGAGGAAGCCACGGCUAACUCUGUGCCAGCAGCCGCGGUAAUACAGAGGUGGCAAGCGUUGUUCGGAAUUACUGGGCGUAAAGGGCGCGUAGGCGGCCUUUCUAAGUCGGACGUGAAAGCCCCAGGCUUAACCUGGGAACUGCGUCCGAUACUGGGAGGCUUGGAUUCGGGAGAGGGAUGCGGAAUUCCAGGUGUAGCGGUGAAAUG
rnacentral:rRNA from 1 species